UUAUUUUUUAAACACCCAUAUACAAUUACGGGAGUAUCGAUUCCUUUUUUAGAUUCUGAGCGCGCAGCGAGGAAUGCAUAUUGGUUUUACUAUAUAAUGUGUGUGCCUUUUUUUCCCCGUGUCUGUCUAUUAAUCACUUUUUACCGGAAAUCUUCCUCCAUUCAAAAAACGACACGGUUGGAUCAAGCCGGUACAUUAAUAGGAUAUCAUUUUUUUCGUUGUUAAUCGGUUAAAAACAAUCGUAGAGAUCUGACAUUUUCACAGAAUAUUAAACAUUUUUUAAACGAUGACAAAGCUCAAAACAUUCCAGCGAUUUUUUUAUUUGCUUAUAGACAUUUGA